rnacentral:rRNA from 1 species
GACGAACGCUGGCGGCGUGCUUAACACAUGCAAGUCGAACGGAAAGGCCCUGCUUUUGUGGGGUGCUCGAGUGGCGAACGGGUGAGUAACACGUGAGUAACCUGCCCUUGACUUUGGGAUAACUUCAGGAAACUGGGGCUAAUACCGGAUAGGAGCUCCUGCUGCAUGGUGGGGGUUGGAAAGUUUCGGCGGUUGGGGAUGGACUCGCGGCUUAUCAGCUUGUUGGUGGGGUAGUGGCUUACCAAGGCUUUGACGGGUAGCCGGCCUGAGAGGGUGACCGGCCACAUUGGGACUGAGAUACGGCCCAGACUCCUACGGGAGGCAGCAGUGGGGAAUAUUGCACAAUGGGCGGAAGCCUGAUGCAGCAACGCCGCGUGCGGGAGGACGGCCUUCGGGUUGUAAAUCGCUUUCGCCUGUGACGAAGCGUGAGUGACGGGAAUGGGGAAAGAAGCACCGGCUAACUACGG